rnacentral:lncRNA from 8 species
UUAUUUUAGGCUAUACCUAAUUUCUAGGCUAGGGCUAUUAUUUCCUGCCUUCACCUCAUACGCUCUUGACGCUGUCUCCACCAUGUUCGGAUGUCUAGCGCUAGGUGGCACUGUGCCUUUUUGAUAAAAGUGAAAUACUUGCUAUUAUUCACCCCUUGAGGAACUAGUCCUAUGGAGACAAAAAUCUCAAGAAUCACAGUACCCUCGAGAAAGUCACAAGGAUGGAUCUAUUCGGCAUACAUAUGUGUGUGACUGUUCAGAUGCCACGCGUCAAAAAGCGCCAGAUCAGAGCCCACGCUCUCCACAGGAAACAAAGCACAAUCUGGAGUUGUUUUUAUUUUCAUCAUUAACUAUUUCCAUUAAUCAUCUUAAUUUGUCGGACGAAGCCGUUUAUGAUCGACAAAGUGCAGUCUGUGUAAUUGCAGAAGCGCGUGUCUAAAUUGAUAUUUAGAUAAGACAUUAAUUGGGGCAAUUAGCUGGAUGUCAUUUGAAUUGCAAAGUACAUUUUAUAAAAAGCUAAGGUAAAUAAUCUUGAAGACUUCUUUCGAGCACAUUAUAAAUAUACUUAUAUAUAGGCAACAAAAGUUGAUAAAGACAUUCCAUUUGAAUUGCCGCAAUAUAUUUAGCAACACGUAAAAUAACAUAAAACUUUAGCCAGGUUAAUUCAUAACUCCUUAAUUUAUUUUGGGUCACAUUAUGUUCACUGUGGUCCAUGACUUAUUUCCCGUGCUUUACCCAUUUGAACUAUGCACAUUUCACAGUAGAUUACUUAGCUUUUUAUAAAAUGUAGGGGUAGUUGAUACCAUUUCAAUUCUGCUAAUGUAAAGCCCAAAUGUAAAAACACUUCUAUGUGAAAUAUUUUAAAGUGUUAAAGAUUGUUAUCGAUUAUGGUAUCCUUCCAGUAGAUCCGAUGCUAUCGAUCUUUUAAGGGGGAUUCUUUUUGCGGGGUAACCAACCAAUUCUCUCUCUCUCUCUCUCUCUCUCUCUCUCUCUCUCUCUCUCUCUCUCUCUCUCUCUCUCUCUCUCUCUCUCUCUCUCUCUCUCUCUCUAUAUAUAUAUAUAUAUAUAUAUAUAUAUAUAUAUAUAUAUCUUCCCCCUCCUCCGACACACACACUAUCUCUCUAACUAUUGACUAUAUCACCUAAAAUAGGUAAACAUGCAAUCGUCCAUAAAGUCCAUAUUCAUUUGAACAGUUCUACGGCCCUGUGGUUGGAUCGUAUGUGAAACCUUAUUUUAUCUCAAUAUAUCACUAUUAUCACUGGCGCUUGUAUUUUGAUCUGCUACAUAGUAUCUCUUAGCAGCAGGCUUUAAAUCAAAGAACAGCACCUCUUGUGCUACGAUACGCCAGUCCGUUUAAAACACCUCAGAGGGCAGUGUUUUAGGAUUAGCCCAGAUAGGCCUAUAUUACGCUUCUGAAAAUAGCGUGAUGCACAUAACCUACAUUUCAUUAUUUUCAGAGUUGUUUUAAUUACAUAGCUUGAAUAUUACAGUACCCUAAGUAUAAGAAAGGUUGACUUGGUCUUUUCUCUUGCCUGCCCCUUCCCCUUCAUGCCAAUAAACAUAACAUAAAUGUGCUUUGUUAAUUUAUAAGGUAAACCGAAUUACGGUCAUGUACAGUUAAUCUGAAUGGAAAUGUUAAUUUGCUGUUUAAAGUGCGUUAACAUUACAAACUCCGGGCCAGUGAUUGCGUCCUGGCAUAUGUUUAACCAAAGCUAUUGUGAGAUCAUCUCUCUUUGAUUGAGCGUAACUUAAUUUCCUACAUCUCCAUUUCUAUCAAGAAAAUAACAUAAUAUACUAACAUAAAGGCGAUAAUUCAAAUAACAUAAUAUACUAACAUAAAGGCGUUAAUUCAAAUAACAUAAUAUACUAACACAAAGGCGUUUAUUCAAAUAACAUAAUAUACUAACACAAAGGCGUUUAUUCAAAUAACAUAAUAUACUAACAUAAAGGCGUUUAUUCAAAUAACAUAAUAUACUAACAUAAAGGCGUUUAUUCAAAUAACAUAAUAUACUAACAUAAAGGCGUUUAUUCAAAUAACAUAAUAUACUAACAUAAAGGCGUUUAUUCAAAUAACAUAAUAUACUAACAUAAAGGCGUUUAUUCAAAUAACAUAAUAUACUAACAUAAAGGCGUUUAUUCAAAUAACAUAAUAUACUAACAUAAAGGCGUUUAUUCAAAUAACAUAAUAUACUAACAUAAAGGCGUUUAUUCAAAUAACAUAAUAUACUAACAUAAAGGCGUUUAUUCAUCCAGAUUUGUAUGUGCUCUAUAACAAAUAAAUAGAUUGAUCUCAAAUAAAAAACAAAAAGCAAAAAUGGCCAUAGACCAUUUAAAAUACAAUGGAGCAAGUAACACACCUGGCAUAGACUCGAAUACACUUUAGUUGGGGAGAACGGUGCUCUUUCAAUACACUAACGUUACUCUCUCGUUCAUCCAC